UGCGUAGGCGGUUUUGUAAGUCUUAUGUGAAAUCUACAGGCUCAACUUGUAGUCUGCAUGAGAAACUGCAGGGCUGGAGUGUGGGAGAGGUGAGUGGAAUUCCCGGUGUAGCGGUGAAAUGCGUAGAUAUCGGGAAGAACACCUGUGGCGAAAGCGGCUCACUGGACCACAACUGACGCUGAAGCACGAAAGCUAGGGGAGCAAACAGGAUUAGAUACCCUGGUAGUCCUAGCCCUAAACCAUGACUGCUUGGUGUGACGGGUACCCAAUCCCGCCGUGCCGGAGCUAACGCGUUAAGCAGUCCGCCUGGGGAGUACGGUCGCAAGGCUGAA
rnacentral:rRNA from 1 species